GCUAGAAUAGUUAAAACUAUAAUAUAACACUGAAGCUGUUAAGGUAAGCCCAGCUUUUCUCGCA
rnacentral:tRNA from 1 species